rnacentral:rRNA from 1 species
ACUGAACGUUGGCGGCGUGGAUUAGGCAUGCAAGUCGUGCGAGAACCGUAGCAAUACGGGGACAGCGGCGAAAGGGAGAGGAACACGUGGAUACCUACCCUCGGGUCCAGGAUAGCUGUGGGAAACUACAGGUAAUACUGGAUGACAUCUCCGGAUCAGAGGUGUGAUUCCGCCCGGGGAGGGGUCCGCGUCCUAUUAGCUUGUUGGUGAGGUAACGGCCCACCAAGGCAAAGAUGGGUAUGGGGUGUGAGAGCAUGCCCCCACUCACUGGGACUGAGACACUGCCCAGAAACCUACGGGUGGCUGCAGUCGAGAAUCUUCGGCAAUGGGCGCAAGCCUGACCGAGCGACGCCGCGUGCGGGAUGGAGGCCUUCGGGUUGUAAGCCGCUGUCAGAGGGGAGGAAAUGCCGGUGGGUUCUCUCAUCGGUUUGACCUAUCCUCAGAGGAAGGACGGGCUAAGUUCGUGCCAGCAGCCGCCGUAACAC